AAGGGACUCGAUGUUUACCGACAUCGAACAGUGAUGUUUACCGACACCAAAGAAAGGAUACAUUUAUGAAACGAAACCAUUUACCGAUGGCGAAAAUGAAAUACUCGAUAUUUACGGAUAGUGAAUCUGUUGGGGAGUCUUAAACGACAAAACCAUUUACCGAUGGUUAACAAGUGGCUGAUGUUUACCGACAUCGAAUCAAUGAUGUUUACCGACACCAAAAAGGGGAAGGACACACACGGGUGUUGACA
rnacentral:lncRNA from 1 species